AUCAGUACACUUUGCCCAGACAUGCUUUUUAGCUCCGUUUCGAUUCUAUUUCGCGCCGAACAACGCUAAAACCUUUCCAACUCCUUCUAAACUCACUUUUAAUCCUUCCAACUUUAUUGGAAUGUUAAAUAGAACUCGUCCAACCAUUUCAUUCGCAUGUUUUAGUCAAUUUGACUAAAGUACAAUAUUUUUUUACCGAAGUUUCGGCAUGUUACAUUCUCCACCCCUUAAAAGAAUUUCGUUCGCGAAAUUAAAUCCAUACCGCAAUUCAGCUCUUCAACAGAGUUAUCGGCCAAGCCGCUUCCGUCGGUUUCCAC
rnacentral:lncRNA from 1 species